UACUAUAGCUUGACACUGAACAUUGAGCCUUGAUGUGUAGGAUAGGUGGGAGGCUUUGAAGUGUGGACGCCAGUCUGCAUGGAGCCGGCCUUGAAAUACCACCCUUUAAUGUUUGAUGUUCUAACGUUGACCCGUGAUCCGGGUUGCGGACAGUGUCUGGUGGGUAGUUUGACUGGGGCGGUCUCCUCCUAAAGAGUAACGGAGGAGCACGAAGGUUGGCUAAUCCUGGUCGGACAUCAGGAGGUUAGUGCAAUGGCAUAAGCCAGCUUGACUGCGAGCGUGACGGCGCGAGCAGGUGCGAAAGCAGGUCAUAGUGAUCCGGUGGUUCUGAAUGGAAGGGCCAUCGCUCAACGGAUAAAAGGUACUCCGGGGAUAACAGGCUGAUACCGCCCAAGAGUUCAUAUCGACGGCGGUGUUUGGCACCUCGAUGUCGGCUCAUCACAUCCUGGGGCUGAAGUAGGUCCCAAGGGUAUGGCUGUUCGCCAUUUAAAGUGGUACGCGAGCUGGGUUUAGAACGUCGUGAGACAGUUCGGUCCCUA
rnacentral:rRNA from 1 species